CCUACGGGAGGCAGCAGUGGGGGAUAUUGCACAAUGGGGGAAACCCUGAUGCAGCGACGCCGCGUGGGUGAAGAAGCGCCUCGGCGCGUAAAGCCCUGUCAGCAGGGAAGAAAAUAACGGUACCUGAAGAAGCAGCCCCGGCUAACUACGUGCCAGCCGCCGCGGUAAUACGUAGGGGGCAAGCGUUAUCCGGAUUUACUGCGUGUAAAGGGGGCGCAGACGGCGAUGCAAGCCAGGAGUGAAAGCCCGGGGCCCAACCCCGGGACUGCUCUUGGAACUGCGUGGCUAGAGUGCAGGAGGGGCAGGCGGAAUUCCUGGUGUAGCGGUGAAAUGCGUAGAUAUCAGGAGGAACACCGGUGGCGAAGGCGGCCUGCUGGACUGCAACUGACGUUGAGGCCCGAAAGCGUGGGGAGCAAACAGGAUUAGAUACCCUGGUAGUC
rnacentral:rRNA from 1 species